UAGCACGCCAAACAGGGAUGUUUGGCGAGGCUAUGCUUCGCCGGGAGCGAAUCAUAGCCGGUGCGUCAAGA
rfam:Gilliamella sp. R-53248 genome assembly, contig: Ga0061081_101